rnacentral:rRNA from 1 species
ACCUACCGAAGACUAUCAAACUCCGAAUGCCGUCAUCUUAUACUGGGAGUCAGACUGUGGGGGAUAAGAUUCAUAGUCGAAAGGGCAACAGCCCAGAUCGUCAGCUAAGGUCCCUAAAUGUAAGUUAAGCGGUAAAGGAUGUGGGAUUGCACAGACAACCAGGAUGUUGGCUUAGAAGCAGCCACUCAUUCAAAGAGUGCGUAAUAGCUCACUGGUCGAGUGAUCCUGCGCCGAAGAUUUCCGGGGCUAAAACUUAC